CAGCCUGAACUAACAACAGCAGAGAGUGAGGGAACCGAAGCAACCACUGUGCACUACCCAGAAGUUGUUACCCACAUAAGAGCAAAACUGACACAGCCUGUACAGCACCUUGUCACCCAGACACAGACCACCCCUGGCACAUCCACCAGCAGCACCUCUG